rnacentral:rRNA from 1 species
GAACAUUGAGCCUUGAUGUGUAGGAUAGGUGGGAGGCUUAGAAGUGUGGACGCCAGUCUGCAUGGAGCCGACCUUGAAAUACCACCCUUUAAUGUUUGAUGUUCUAACGUUGACCCGUAAUCCGGGUUGCGGACAGUGUCUGGUGGGUAGUUUGACUGGGGCGGUCUCCUCCUAAAGAGUAACGGAGGAGCACGAAGGUUGGCUAAUCCUGGUCGGACAUCAGGAGGUUAGUGCAAUGGCAUAAGCCAGCUUGACUGCGAGCGUGACGGCGCGAGCAGGUGCGAAAGCAGGUCAUAGUGAUCCGGUGGUUCUGAAUGGAAGGGCCAUCGCUCAACGGAUAAAAGGUACUCCGGGGAUAACAGGCUGAUACCGCCCAAGAGUUCAUAUCGACGGCGGUGUUUGGCACCUCGAUGUCGGCUCAUCACAUCCUGGGGCUGAAGUAGGUCCCAAGGGUAUGGCUGUUCGCCAUUUAAAGUGGUACGCGAGCUGGGUUUAGAACGUCGUGAGACAGUUCGGUCCCUAUCUGCCGUGGGCGCUGGAGAACUGAGGGGGGCUGCUCCUAGUACGAGAGGACCGGAGUGGACGCAUCACUGGUGUUCGGGUUGUCAUGCCAAUGGCACUGCCCGGUAGCUAAAUGCGGAAGAGAUAAGUGCUGAAAGCAUCUAAGCACGAAACUUGCCCCGAGAUGAGUUCUCCCUGACUCCUUGAGAGUCCUGAAGGAACGUUGAAGACGACGACGUUGAUAGGCCGGGUGUGUAAGCGCAGCGAUGCGUUGAGCUAACCGGUACUAAUGAACCGUGAGG